UUGACUCUUCUCGCCUUCGUUCCGAGUUUCAAAACGGCAAGUUUCAGAGGAUUUCAUUAGGAUUAUAUUACUAGAGACAGAUCCUCGAAUAGAAAAGAAAAUGUCAGAACUACAGCUGCCUCCAGGAUUCCGAUUUCACCCAACCGACGAAGAGCUGGUGAUGCACUAUCUCUGCCGCAAAUGCGCCUCUCAGUCCAUCGCCGUCCCCAUCAUCGCUGAGAUCGAUCUCUACAAAUAUGAUCCUUGGGAGCUUCCCGGUUUAGCCUUGUACGGUGAGAAGGAAUGGUAUUUCUUCUCUCCAAGAGACAGAAAAUAUCCGAAUGGUUCUCGGCCGAACCGGUCAGCUGGUUCGGGUUACUGGAAAGCUACUGGAGCUGAUAAACCGAUCGGACUUCCUAAACCGGUUGGGAUUAAGAAGGCUCUGGUUUUCUACGCCGGGAAAGCUCCAAAGGGUGAGAAAACCAAUUGGAUCAUGCAUGAGUACCGUCUUGCCGACGUUGACCGAUCAUCGGCUGCUCGCAAGAAGAAGAAUAGUCUCAGGCUGGAUGAUUGGGUUCUUUGUCGGAUUUACAACAAAAAAGGAGCCAUCGAGAAGCGAGGACCACCACCAACUCCGGUUGUUUACGGCGACGAGGUCGUGGAGGAGAAGCCGAGGCUGUCGGAGAUGGGCAUGCCUCCGCCGCCGGUGAUGCCGAAUGAUUUCGUGUACUUUGACACGUCGGACUCGGUGCCAAAGCUGCAUACGACGGAGUCGAGCUGCUCGGAGCAGGUGGUGUCGCCGGAGUUCACGAGCGAGGUUCAGAGCGAGCCCAAGUGGAAGGAUUGGUCGGGUGAGAAAAGUAGCCUUGAUUUUGGGUUUAAUUACAUAGAUGCCACCGCGUUCGGGGGAGGAGGAGGGAGCAAUCAGCUGUUUCCGCUACAGGACAUGUUCAUGUACAACAUGCCCAAGCCUUAUUAGGUGAAGGCAAACACUUGUUUUUUUAUCGUCUAUGGGUAUCACGAGAUCGAUUACGGACGGUCAAUGAGUGUGCCGCCAUUAGAUAUUUAUUACCAUGAUGUUUGUUGUUCAGUGUUACUUUUAUUUUCUAAGCUGUCAGAUUACGGGAAAUCUCUAAUCGGAUGGCGGUCGAUGUGUCAUUGUACUAGUGUUGUUUGGUAGAAGAAUCCACAUGUCUUUUCUUUUUUGGGCUUUAGUGGGGCAUAAAAGUCAAAAGCUAAGGAUAUUUGUUAUUAUCUCCUUCGUAAUAAUCAAUUAAAUAUUUCUUGAUAUA